rnacentral:lncRNA from 1 species
UCCUGAGUAGCUGGGACUACAGGCAUGCGCCACCAAGCCCAGGACCUCCAUGGACUCCCAGUUGCCCACCCAGGGACCCCAGCUUGGAAGUCCUGAAUCAGCCUGCCUUCCUUGGGACCGAGGCCUAGACACUCCCAUCCCUGCCUGUGCCAUCACCUUCAUAUGGAGGCUAUCUUUGAAGUGCCCGUGGCCAGCUGUGACUGGCCCUACCCACAGGCCACCACGCCCAGCUGCCCAGAGGAAUGGAAUCACAGCCAGUGGCUGGGCAGCUGAGAGUAGCUGUGCCCAUGGCAACGGUCAUCUGAGAUGAGCUUCCUCUCCACCUGGCCUCAGGUUUCUGGCCCAGAGAGAAUUCCAGAAGAGCCUCAUUGAAGGUCCCUGGCAGGGUGGGGCCCUGCUGUCUGGGACAAAAGCUUGCUAUUCUCGGGACCAGGGUGGACAGAGCACUGAUUGUCUGCAGCCUCUUUGUGUGCAGUCUCUGUGGCUUCUUGGUAAAUGGAAGAUGUGAUUUCAUGGGGAACCUGGGAGACCAUCAGACCCUGUCUCCUCCCUGCUGUGUGACUGUGGGGAGGUUCCUUCACCUCUCUGGGCGUGCUUCCUCUUGUGCAGCUGGAUAGAGCUCAUGAAGGCAGAGCCCUACACAGUGCCUCUGGCACACAGCAAGCAGUGCAUAAAUGCAUACUUGUUAGCCCUGGUGCUUCCCCUACCCUUUCCUCCCUAGUUUCCUGUGUUUUUCCUUCUUUUCGUCAUGAUUUGAGCCCCUGUGUGGCAUUCACUGGGGAAAGAGCAAAGAAGGCAGA